rnacentral:rRNA from 1 species
UACGGAAGGCAGCAGUGGGGAAUAUUGCACAAUGGGCGCAAGCCUGAUGCAGCCAUGCCGCGUGUAUGAAAAAGGCCUUCGGGUUGUAAAGUACUUUCAGUCGUGAGGAAGGUGUUAAGGUUAAUAACCUUAGCAAUUGACGUUAGCGACAGAAGAAGCACCGGCUAACUCCGUGCCAGCAGCCGCGGUAAUACGGAGGGUGCGAGCGUUAAUCGGAAUUACUGGGCGUAAAGGGCACGCAGGCGGUUAAUAAGUUGGAUGUGAAAUCCCCGGGCUUAACCUGGGAAUGGCAUUCAAGACUGGUUAGCUAGAGUCUUGUAGAGGGGGUAGAAUUCCAUGUGUAGCGGUGAAAUGCGUAGAGAUGUGGAGGAAUACCGGUGGCGAAGGCGGCCCCUGGGACAAAGGACUGACGCUCAUGUGCGAAAGCGUGGGGAGCAAACAGGGAUUAGAUACC